rnacentral:rRNA from 1 species
AGCAAACAGGAUUAGAUACCCUGGUAGUCCACGCUGUAAACGAUGAGUACUAGGUGUCGGGGGUUACCCCCCUCGGGGCCGCAGCUAACGCAUUAAGUCGUCCGCCUGGGAAUUACGCUCACGAGGUGGAAACUCAAAUGAAUUGAGGGGGACCCGCACAAGUAGCGGAGCAUGUGGUUUAAUUAGAAGCGACGCGAAUAACCUUACCUAAGCUUGACAUCCCAAUGACAUCUCCUUAAUCGGAGAGUUCCCGUC